GAGGUAAAACCACUGCUGAGAUUUAAAUUUGUCAUGCUACUGCCAAGUGUGUCCAACACUUCCACUGCCUUACCAAGCCCAGCAGUCCCAGCUCUGCCUAAAAGUGAGCUCACUUCUGAAACCUUUGCAACAGUUGCCUGCUUAGACUUGGUUGAUCUAGAUUUAUUUGAUAAAGCCCUUGAUAAACGAGGAAUACCAUCAUCAAUAUCAU
rnacentral:misc_RNA from 1 species